GAGUGUAUAGCACAGUGGUAGAGUGUGUGCUUAGCAUGCAUGAGGUCCUGGGUUCAAUCCCCGGUACCUCG
rnacentral:tRNA from 1 species